rnacentral:rRNA from 1 species
GGUGAGUAACACGUGGGUAACCUACCUAUAAGACUGGAAUAACUCCGGGAAACCGGGGCUAAUGCCGGAUAACAUGUUGAACCGCAUGGUUCUACAGUGAAAGACGGUCUUGCUGUCACUUAUAGAUGGACCCGCGCCGUAUUAGCUAGUUGGUGGGGUAACGGCCUACCAAGGCGACGAUACGUAGCCGACCUGAGAGGGUGAUCGGCCACACUGGAACUGAGACACGGUCCAGACUCCUACGGGAGGCAGCAGUAGGGAAUCUUCCGCAAUGGGCGAAAGCCUGACGGAGCAACGCCGCGUGAGUGAUGAAGGUCUUCGGAUCGUAAAGCUCUGUUGUUAGGGAAGAACAAAUGUGUAAGUAAC